rnacentral:rRNA from 1 species
GAUGAACGCUGGCGGCGUGCCUAAUACAUGCAAGUCGAGCGAACAGAUGAGGAGCUUGCUCCUCUGACGUUAGCGGCGGACGGGUGAGUAACACGUGGAUAACCUACCUAUAAGACUGGGAUAACUUCGGGAAACCGGAGCUAAUACCGGAUAAUAUAUUGAACCGCAUGGUUCAAUAGUGAAAGACGGUUUUGCUGUCACUUAUAGAUGGAUCCGCGCCGCAUUAGCUAGUUGGUAAGGUAACGGCUUACCAAGGCAACGAUGCGUAGCCGACCUGAGAGGGUGAUCGGCCACACUGGAACUGAGACACGGUCCAGACUACUACGGGAGGCAGCAGUAGGGAAUCUUCCGCAAUGGGCGAAAGCCUGACGGAGCAACGCCGCGUGAGUGAUGAAGGUCUUCGGAUCGUAAAACUCUGUUAUUAGGGAAGAACAAAUGUGUAAGUAACUAUGCACGUCUUGACGGUACCUAAUCAGAAAGCCACGGCUAACUACGUG